GACGAACGCUGGCGGCGUGCUUAACACAUGCAAGUCGAACGGAAAGGCCCUGCUUUUGUGGGGUGCUCGAGUGGCGAACGGGUGAGUAACACGUGAGUAACCUGCCCUUGACUUUGGGAUAACUUCAGGAAACUGGGGCUAAUACCGGAUAGGAGCUCCUGCUGCAUGGUGGGGGUUGGAAAGUUUCGGCGGUUGGGGAUGGACUCGCGGCUUAUCAGCUUGUUGGUGGGGUAGUGGCUUACCAAGGCUUUGACGGGUAGCCGGCCUGAGAGGGUGACCGGCCACAUUGGGACUGAGAUACGGCCCAGACUCCUACGGGAGGCAGCAGUGGGGAAUAUUGCACAAUGGGCGGAAGCCUGAUGCAGCAACGCCGCGUGCGGGAUGACGGCCUUCGGGUUGUAAACCGCUUUCGCCUGUGACGAAGCGUGAGUGACGGUAAUGGGUAAAGAAGCACCGGCUAACUACGUGCCAGCAGCCGCGGUGAUACGUAGGGUGCGAGCGUUGUCCGGAUUUAUUGGGCGUAAAGGGCUCGUAGGUGGUUGAUCGCGUCGGAAGUGUAAUCUUGGGGCUUAACCCUGAGCGUGCUUUCGAUACGGGUUGACUUGAGGAAGGUAGGGGAGAAUGGAAUUCCUGGUGGAGCGGUGGAAUGCGCAGAUAUCAGGAGGAACACCAGUGGCGAAGGCGGUUCUCUGGGCCUUUCCUGACGCUGAGGAGCGAAAGCGUGGGGAGCGAACAGGCUUAGAUACCCUGGUAGUCCACGCUGUAAACGGUGGGUACUAGGUGUGGGGUCCAUUCCACGGGUUCCGUGCCGUAGCUAACGCUUUAAGUACCCCGCCUGGGGAGUACGGCCGCAAGGCUAAAACUCAAAGGAAUUGACGGGGCCCCGCACAAGCGGCGGAGCAUGCGGAUUAAUUCGAUGCAACGCGUAGAACCUUACCUGGGUUUGACAUGGAUCGGGAGUGCUCAGAGAUGGGUGUGCCUCUUUUGGGGUCGGUUCACAGGUGGUGCAUGGCUGUCGUCAGCUCGUGUCGUGAGAUGUUGGGUUAAGUCCCGCAACGAGCGCAACCCUUGUUCACUGUUGCCAGCACGUUAUGGUGGGGACUCAGUGGAGACCGCCGGGGUCAACUCGGAGGAAGGUGGGGAUGACGUCAAGUCAUCAUGCCCCUUAUGUCCAGGGCUUCACGCAUGCUACAAUGGCUGGUACAGAGAGUGGCGAGCCUGUGAGGGUGAGCGAAUCUCGGAAAGUCGGUCUCAGUUCGGAUUGGGGUCUGCAACUCGACCUCAUGAAGUCGGAGUCGCUAGUAAUCGCAGAUCAGCAACGCUGCGGUGAAUACGUUCCCGGGGC
rnacentral:rRNA from 1 species